rnacentral:tRNA from 1 species
AGGGGCAAAAGUAAUCUUGGGAAAGUGCUAAUUUUUCCAAACCAUGGUUAGAAUCCAUGGGCCUUUCG